rnacentral:rRNA from 1 species
UACAGAGGUCCCAAGCGUUGUUCGGAUUCACUGGGCGUAAAGGGUGCGUAGGUGGUCGGGUAAGUCUGAUGUGAAAUCUCUGAGCUCAACUCAGAAACUGCAUUGGAUACUAUUCGGCUAGAGGAGUGGAGGGGGGACUGGAAUACUUGGUGCAGCAGUGAAAUGCGUAGAUAUCAAGUGGAACACCAGUGGCGAAGGCGAGUCCCUGGACACUUCCUGACACUGAGGCACGAAAGCUAGGGGAGCAAACAGG